GAAAUACUCCCUCCGUCCAACAAAGGAUGUCUCAACUUUGACCAAAUUUGAAUGCAUCUAUACACUAAGUCAUGUCUAGAUACAUCCAAAUUUUGACAAACUUGAGACAUCUUUUGUUGGACGGAGGGAGUAUAGA
rnacentral:pre_miRNA from 1 species